rnacentral:rRNA from 1 species
GUUCGCCGCCCGGCGUCUACUGUCGGCUUCCGAACAGCCCGCCGGCUCGCGCGGGGUGCUCUUCAUCGAGUGUCCCGAGUGGCCGGCACGUUUACUUUGAAAAAAUUAGAGUGCUCAAAGCAGGCCCAGCCGCCUGAAUAUUCGUGCAUGGAAUAAUGGAAUAGGACCUCGGUUCUAUUUUGUUGGUUUUCGGAACUCGAGGUAAUGAUUAAUAGGGACAGACGGGGGCAUUCGUAUUGCGACGUUAGAGGUGAAAUUCUUGGAUCGUCGCAAGACGAACUACUGCGAAAGCAUUUGCCAAGAAUGUUUUCAUUAAUCAAGAACGAAAGUUAGAGGUUCGAAGGCGAUCAGAUACCGCCCUAGUUCUAACCAUAAACGAUGCUGACUAGCGAUCCGCCGGCGUUAUUCCCAUGACUCGGCGGGCAGCUUCCGGGAAACCAAAGUCUUUGAGUUCCGGGGGAAGUAUGGUUGCAAAGCUGAAACUUAAAGGAAUUGACGGAAGGGCACCACCAGGAGUGGAGCCUGCGGCUUAAUUUGACUCAACACGGGGAACCUCACCAGGCCCGGACACCGGAAGGAUUGACAGAUUGAGAGCUCUUUCUUGAUUCGGUGGGUGGUGGUGCAUGGCCGUUCUUAGUUGGUGGAGCGAUUUGUCUGGUUAAUUCC